rnacentral:rRNA from 1 species
UACGUAGGGUGCAAGCGUUAAUCGGAAUUACUGGGCGUAAAGCGUGCGCAGGCGGUCGUGCAAGACAGAUGUGAAAUCCCCGGGCUCAACUUGGGAACUGCAUUUGUGACUGCACGGCUGGAGUGCGGCAGAGGGGGAUGGAAUUCCGCGUGUAGCAGUGAAAUGCGUAGAUAUGCGGAGGAACACGGAUGGCGAAGGCAAUCCCCUGGGCCUGCACUGACGCUCAUGCACGAAAGCGUGGGGAGCAAACAGG